GACGGAGGAUGCAAGUGUUAUCCGGAAUCACUGGGCGUAAAGCGUCUGUAGGUGGUUUAGUAAGUCAACUGUUAAAUCUUGAAGCUUAACUUCAAAAUUGCAAUCGAAACUAUUAGACUAGAGUAUAGUAAGGGUAACAGGAAUUUUCAGUGGAGCGGUGAAAUGUGUAGAUAUUGAAAGGAACAUCAGUGGCGAAAGCGUUUUACUAGGUUAAUACUGACACUCAGAAACUAAAGCUAGGGGAGCAAAUGGG
rnacentral:rRNA from 1 species